UCCAGUAACCGUUUAUCUCGCAAUGUCCUGGCUGUAACCUAUGAACGGGAAUUGUUGUUGAUUAUCUGGUUUGAUGGAGACCGCGCGAUAACAGCGAUUCGAAGGGGCGUCCACAGAGCUGUGCAAGUCUUUCGCAGCCCGUCACCAGCCCAGACAUGGAUACUAGGAAUCAUCUCCUGUCACUGCUGCUCUUGGCUACCGUCGUAGCAGCCGACUCUGACGACAACCCAUCUACAGCGGCGUCCGUAGGUAGUGCUCUUGCAAGUAUCUUCGUAUUCUGCUGCAUUUGCUACUGCAUCUGGCGAUUCUGUUGCCGAAGAACAGAAGUUAUUCACAAUGUUACUAACAUACAACAAGUGGCAGCACCUGCACCUGCACCUGCACCUGCACCUGCACCGGCAGCGGCUCCAACUGUUGUUGUAGCCCCGACGAUUGUAACUCCACAGGGACAACCUAAUAUAAUUAACAACGUGAACACGGCACCCCAAAUGAUGAUGCCGCAAGCACAACCUCAAAUGAUGAUGCCGCAAGCACAACCUCAGAUGAUGAUGCCUCAGUCACAACCUCAAAUGAUGAUGGCACAACCUCAAUAUCAACCUCAAAUGAUGAUGCCUCAGGGGCCAUCGGGGAUGACGGGACAGCCUAGUGCCCCUCCGUACCGCUACUGAUUGCAGCCGCACAGCCGUUUAGAAACUGCUAGUCUAUUAAAGUGGGCCCGACGAAUUUCA